rnacentral:lncRNA from 1 species
ACGAUGCUUUGGUGUUGUGUUAUUUCAUGAGUUAUUCUUGAGUCUAGUCACGUUGAUGGUACUGUAGUACUAAUAGAUUUACUGUUCCUUCGGUAAAUAACCACAAUAUUGUCAUUUCAAAAUUUUAAUAUCAAACGGUACUGCAAAAAUGAGUGUAUCGUUUGUCAUAACUUAUAAAGUAGUUUCUUUAUUUGUGAUUUGUUUCAUACAAUACAGUUCAACAUUAAGUUUCAAAUCCGGUUCAUUACAACAACAACAACUUGCUGAAUCUAAUCAUUUCAAAGCAAGUACUUUAUCUGAGGAUGUUGAAAACAAGAGUGGAACAUUUACAGAAAGCUCUUCAACAACUCCUUCCUCCACUUCAGCUCCACCUGCUUCUACUCGAAGAUUUGAUGCACUUAGUUUUAUUGGGGGAAUUAUCUUAACAUAUGGAUUCCUUGCUGUGAUGUAUGUUGGGUUCAGGUUUUAUAAAGCUCGCACGCAAAAAAAUUACAACAACAUGUGAACCAAGUCACAUCUGAUGUAUUUUUCAACAACUGUUUGAUAUUGUUGAAGCUUAAAGAGAAAGUUUCAAAACUUCCAGGAAUAAUCUAUGUACAUGUAGACUUACAAUUGAUGUAUUAAAUUCAGUAAACAGUUGAUAUUAAAGAAUGAGAUAAAAUAUUCCUUUCAGUUAUGUUAAUUAGUAUAUUUUUCUGAUUGUGCAAUAAUUUACAGUAUCCAUAAGAGUAGUGGGGAAAUGCUGUUUAUUUUUAUUCAAUUAUCUGUGUACAUUUAGUCACUUGAGUGCAAUGAACACAAUGUUUUAUAAAAAUUGUGUUAGAUUUUGAAGACAUACAUACAAUAUUUAAUGGUCAGUAAUAGAAAUCAUGUUCUGUGAUUAUCAGUGUUUCUAGAUUUGGAGUCUGUGAAGGGUCUUGCAUGUGUUUUUCACUAGUUUUAAAAAAUAAUUGUAAUUUUGCAGUGUAAUGCAAGUUUAUCAUGCAAUGUAACAUUUACUUAAUAUGAAAGGAACUUGCCAAAUAAGCAACAAAAAACAUGCAUGCAAUGCCAAAUAAGUCUUUCAAUCAAAGAAUUAUUUUCUGUAUUUUUGUAAAACACUUUUGUGGUUAUGAAAGUUGACUAUGCAUAAAUUGAAAAAUGUUUGUAGAAUAUUUUUUCCAGUUAUUUUCAAGAUUAAUGUAUCCAAGAGAUAUAUGAAUAAAUUGUAUUACUUUACAUAAUAUCAGGGAACAGCCUGUUGCACUGAUUCCUGAAUAAUCUUGUGCUGGAAUAAUAUAAAAUUGACAAUCAAUGAAAUAUUGAAAAGAAAUUGAAAUUAUAAUAGUUAUGUUUAAAUAUUAUUUCAUCUUGGUUCAUUAAAUUCAUGUGUCUAGAAAGUAGUAAGGACAGUUAUAGAAAAUUCAUAUUUGAAAUGCUUUUUUUAAACUCUUCCACUGUGGCUGGGACGUAUAUUUCCAAGUGCACUGGGAUACAUACGUCCCAGCUGCAGUGAAUGGGUUGAAUAAAUAAUAACAGGUUUAAAUAUUGACAAAGACCAUUAAAAAAAUCCCUUUAUAUAUAUUCCAUUAAAUGCCUACAUUGUAUUUAUAAUUAUGUUGUGAAAGCAGAUGUUGAAAAUAAUCAGUUAUCCUGGAAGCUACAGUUUAAAAAUAAUUCAGUAAUAUUUUCAAAAACUUAAACAUUGAAAUAAGAUGAUAAAUUUGACAAACAUUACAAUGCAACUAGCAAUAUUUGUUAACAGUCUACUGUUAACCGACUCUGUAUGGAAAGCCAUAGAUAGGCUAAGUCAGUCAGCUAAAUAAUCAGUUUGUUCAAGUAACUUUCAAAUUUUUUUUAAUUUAUUACAUUUUCUAUUUUUCAGUGUUGUGGUUUAAUAGUUAAAAGAUUUAUGCUCAAAUAAAGUAUGAAGAAAGCUUGAAAUUAUUAAUUAGUUCUUGUGGGACUUUGUUAUUUUUUUGAUUUAUCAUCUUAGCUUAGUUGGAAAUAUAAUCAUACGGGUUUGUUAACAAAAAUUUAUUCUUUUUGUAAUUUGACUGUCUGUUAUUAUCUAAUAUUUCAGAAUAGCUCUGUAUAAUUUUUACACUGGAAAUUUUAUGUGAGAAGUAUUCAAACAUUUAGGCAUAAGGAUGUAAAUCUGUUUUCAGGUGAAAAAUUUCCUGUUACGAAUGUCUCGUGUAAUGAACUUUCAUUUUCUAUUAAAAUGAAAUGAUAGGGAAUUUAUCAUUAAAGUCAAAAAUGUAUGACCAGAAAAUUUUAAGAAUUCUCUUUGAUUCAAAAAAUAGCUAGGAUUAAUUCACUGUAUAUGAUAAAUAGAUAUUUGUUAAGUAGUUUAUACAUUUUAUCUCGUAGCUGUUUAUGAGGAAAAUGGCUUGACAUGUUGGAGAACAAAGAGUACCUUGAAUUUAGUGUAAUUUAACACCUGAUUGCACACAUAUGUUAAUAAUUCUGAAAGAGAUUAAUAUUUAAUUAAAUAAAUGUGUGCUUUUACUGAUUUUUUAACUUAUUCUAAUAAGUAUUAUCAAUAAAAUACUUCAGUUUACAGUUUGUGUGGUUAACUUUUGCAUUUUCAAAACAACAAAGGUAAAUAAAAACUAGCCAAUGAAAUGUUAUAAAAAUUCAAAAGGCAUGGUAGUGACUUCAACCAAGUUAGAAGGAUGGAGUAACACUGUCAUAAUUCUAUUUACAGGACUCAACUUUUGGCCAAAUCUGGGGUAUUGCCAGAGUUGUUCUAUAUACUAUUCAUAUAUUUGGAUGGGUAGAUAACAAACUAGAAUUUGUCCAUUUCCUACAUCAUAGUUUGAUUUUUCAUAAUACUAUACUAUUCUAUAUAACUAUAUUAAUUUUGGGAAUUUUGAUGAAAGGAUAUCUAUUUUGAAAGUCUUACAUCAAGGGCAUCUUUGUAUUGAAAUAUGAGAAUGGCAAAAAUUCCAUUGUAUAUUGAAUCAUAUAAAUUUGUAAAAUUCAA